GGGGCUGGGAAGAGAGGAGGGGAGAGGGGCCCUGCGCUCCCCCUCCCCGGCCUCCAUCCCCGGCCCCCACCCCCACCCCCACCCUGCCACAGCUUCGGGACGACUGGAUCGCCGCGCCUGGGCCGGAGCGAGCCAUCUGCGGGCACUAUGCAAAGCGGGAGACGGCGCGAGCGGCGCCCGGCUCACACUAGCUCUUCCAGGACGCAGGACAGAAGAGCUCCUUGGCACUGGAUGCCUCCGGGUCUGGUUGAGAGAGGAAUGGUUAGGAGACUGUUCUGAGGAUACGCAGACAUCAUCCAAAGCUUCCUACAUUCAGAUGAGGACAGAGGUUGGGCCAGAGCUUUGUAAGCUUGUUACCUAAGGAUGGUUCUGACCAUGUAAGCAGAUCACAGAAGCUGGAGGCAAAGGAUGCCAAGAUGGGAAAGCCACAUAAUGGAAGGAUCCUGGAUUUCAGAGCUGUCACUUGGAGGAGGGGCACCCAGUGAAGGUGUCUUAUCUAACCCACACCAUAUCUUCAUGAAGUGGCCAUAUGGAUUUGAUCCCUAUCCUUCAGAGGUGCUCAGCCUAAGGGAACACGGAUAGUAGAUUAAGCACUGACCAGAGCCAGCCUUGACAAUGUGCUGAUGGCAACCUAGAACAUAAGCAGAGGAGUAUACAGGACAAGAACUUGAUGGUCUCGGGAAAAUGGACAACAUGACUCAGGUGAAAAAGAUUGAUCAUCAGAUGUUUCUUAUGUAUCAACCUGAUAUUUAAAUCCAUGAAGGACAGAGACGACAAAGGCAGGUGGAAUAGAUAGAGAAGAGAUUCAAGGUCUGAGCUCUACAUUACUCAAACUGUUAGAGAUUAGGAAGAAGAGGAAGACCUGGCAAAAGAAUGUCCUGGGAUGUAGAAAGAAAACCAGAAGCUUGUGUUCUCUGGAAACCAAAUGAAGAAAGGGCUUCCAGAAGGACAGACAAAGUGUAGUGUGUCAAAGGCUCCUGAGCAAUCAGAGGAGAGCACAAAGGGGCUCACAGGACUUUGGUAUCUGGAUCACCCAGUGACACUUCCUGAUCACGAGAAACUGUCAGACCAACAGGGGCACUUUCUGAAACCAGCAGUUCUUCAGUGCCCAAAUGCAACCUUGAUGGUUUGAUUUUGGAGGAUGGCAAUUCAUUAACAGCACUCCCCAGUGAUAAAUAUGAAAACCAAUAAAACCCCCCACCCAAGGCAAUCUCUCCCAGCUCCUCGCUUUGAGUAAAGAGAAACCAGGAGAAGGCAGUCCUAGGGCAGUCUCCGGGCCAGCUUUCCCUAAUAAGAAGGCAGAGCUCCUCUUCACCCAGACUUCAGACCUAUAGAGGCAGCCUGGGGUCCCGGGAUGCCCUUGCACUCAGAGAUGUCCCCAGAGUCCUAGGGAAAUGGAGGAUAACUAGGAGGAAGCUGUUCAUGGCUGGCGAUGAGGUCUAUACCUUCUUGUCCGUCUCAGUGCUGUCUGCUAUUGAAUUUUUGUGCAGAUCACAUUAACUUAAAGCCAGUUCUCAAGAAGCUCCCCCUGCCGCCGGCAUAUCCACCAGUUGCUCCCCUUUCCUGCCAUUAAUCAGGGUCUGCUAGUUAGAGAACAAAUUCCUAUUUGUCCAAACAGUUGCCAACACCCCCACCCCAAGGUAGUUAAAUGAGGAUGAAUGGGUCAUUCUUAUUAAAAAAUGACUUAAAUUUCUCAAAUUCUAUUUAUGUUUCUUUUACAUCCCAAUUUUCUAUAGAUUUAGUGACUCCAAAUGAUAAGGUCUCAAGCUCAUAAUAAUUUAUCCCUUGGGUAACACACAAGGCUUGGUGGUAUUUCAGUAAUAUUCAUGACAACAGCAGCUGUCGUGCUAAUAAGGACUGAUGUCACCAGAGCACUUUCUAUGUGCCAAGCAUGGUGCACAACACUUUACAUACAUUAUGUCAUUUAAUUUUCACAAAACCUCACAGAGGUAAAUAUUAUUAUCUUCCUCUGCAUAUAAGGAAAUGAAUGUUCGGAAAGAUUAAGUCAACUCACUGAGGUCCCAUCAGUGCUCUUUCAUAUGCCUCUGUUGCAGUCUCAUUGAACUGCUGAAAUCAGAAAAACCUGGAGACCUUGUUAACCUUCAGAUUCCUGGGCCCCAUCUUAGAUGCAGGGAGUCAGACUUCCUGGGAGUGUGGCCCUGGAAUUUUCAUUUGUAAACACAUUCCCCAAGAGACCUGUAUGCACACUAAAGUGGGAGAAUUCACGAUCUCUGGCUUUUGUGAUGUUUUAAACGCACUAUAUAAUUUCAGUAGCAAAAGAAUUGGGCUUUGGGAAGGGAGUGUGUGGUGAACCCUGAAAGCUGAAUGGACUUCCUUCCUGUGGAGGAGCAGUGGGAGAAACUGGAGGCAGAGAGCUGUGUUUCAUUCCUUGAUUGAGCCUUUGUGAGUUAUUUAAUCUCUUUCAGUCUCUAUUUUUUUCAUUUGUAAACCAGGAAGGAUACUUGUAUUUUCCAGGUGGUUGUGAGGUGUGAAAGAGAUGAGAGUAGAACAAAAUUUUAAAAGUUGAAAGCACUCAACAAAUGUAUUUGGUAUUAAUCAUGGGUUUCCCUGGGGCCGAGGAAGCCACCAGCCACCGCAGGCCUGUACACAAUGCCAGCCACCAUGUAUGGAUACGGAGGAGGCAAAAGGACUAGCGAACACUCCCAGGGACUGGAUGUCUUGAAUAUCUGUCCAACUUUCUUGGGAGGGGCCAUUUCUUCUGUAACUCAAAGGAAUUUAUUAUUUUUCAGCCAGGGAGGCAUGCUUUCUAUCUACUGCUAGUACUCCCAGACCAAGCUGUUUCAGUGGGACUGAGGUGUGACUUCUGCCUCGGUUUCAUCCAUCUGUGCAGGGAAGAGAAAAAUGCCUGCACCUCCACGGUCACACCCUCUGUUGGAACCACCUCCUUAAGCCAGAAUUAUUGAAUGUUCUCUAUGUGCCAGAAUUAUUAUUAUCUCAUUUGAUUCUCACAACAAUGCCAUGAAGUCUAUACAGACAUACCUUGGAAAUACAGCGGGUUUGGUUCCAGACCACCGCAAUAAAGCUAAUACCGCAAUAAAAUGGGUCACACGAAUUUUUUGGAUUAGGCUUCGGCUUAAGGGAAUGUUGUGGCUGGUUUGAUGUUUUAUCCAGACCGCUAACACUUUCUCCCUAUCAGCAAUGAGGCUGUUUUGCUUUCUUAUCAUUCCUGUGUUCACUGGAGUAGCACUUUUAAUUUCCUUCAAGAACUUUUCCUUUGCAUUCAUAACUUGGCUAACUGUUUGGCACAAGAGGCCUGCCUAGCUUUUGGCCUAUCUAAGCUUUUGACUUGCCUUCCUCACUGAGCUUAAUCAUCUCUAGCCUUGGAUUUAACGUGGAAAAUGUGUGACCCUUCCUUUCACUUGAACACUUGGAAGCUAUUGUAGGGUUAUUAACUGGCCUAAUUCAAUAUUAUUGUGUCUCAGGGAACAGGGAGGCCCAGAGAGAGAGAGACGGGAAAACAGAAAGUCAGUGGGGCAGGCAGAACACACACGUUUAUUUAUUAAGUUUGCUGUCAUAUGUUGGUGCAGUUCAUGCUGCCCCAAAACAAUUACAAUAACAAGAUCAAAGAUUCCUGGUCAUAGAUUGCCAUAACAGAUACAGUAAUCACGAAAAAGUUUGAGAUAUUGUGAGAAUUACGCAGAUAUUGUGAGAAAUAUGACCCAGAGACAAGAAGCGAGCACAUGCCGUUAGAAAAAUGGCACCAACAGACUUGCUUGCUGCAGGGUUACACAUACCUUCAAUUUGUAAAAAAAAAAAACUGUAAUAUCUGCAAAACGCAAUAAAGAAAAGUGUAAUAAAAUGCAGUCUGCCUGAACUUCAAUUAUUCCCAUUUUAUAGAAGAGGAAAUAGAUGCAGGGAGUUUGAUCUGCCUGAACUAGUAAAUGGUAGAACUCUGGGACUAACAUUCCUAUCCUCUAUGCUACAUUCCUAGGAAAGAACGCUCAGACAGGGUUGGACUGAGAGUGUGUUAAGCUUUGCACUGUUUUGAGCCCUCUGAAGGAGUGUCCGUAUUUGAAAGCUGGCCUCCUUCCUUUCACUGGCCCUCCACAGUGUGGCCUAAGUUAUUCAAUUAGGAAGGGAAAUAAUUGGCAGUGGAGAAUGCCUCUAGCAGUGGUAAUUACCUCCAGUGCCUUGUAGGAAUAGUCAAGCUACAUUUCAGUUUAUGCUGUAAAACCUUAAUUAUAAUAUAAACAGCUGCCCUUCAGCCCAGUGGGGCAGCCUUCCCCCGCCUUCCUUCUCUGGCCUCUGAAUGGCCCUGCCUCCUGAAUGGUCAGGGAGGUCCAGGGACGGAAGGAGACCUGGGAGGAGGGGAGCCGAUGACUAUGCGUGCGUUGGGGUUUGGAAGACUAAGCUGGAGGGAGCCACUGCCAGGGUCCCAUCUUCAAGUGAUGAAGCCAAAGGCAGCAUCCCCAUUCUUGGUACCACUCACACUGAGUCUCUUGGGGGAGCAGCCUCCAGCCAUUAGCAGUCAGCCCAGUGCCAUUAGGCUAGGAUAGGGUUUAGCAGGCUAUGGUAUCAUUUCAGGGUAACAUCUCUUUCUAUUUACUCCCCUAUAAGGGAGAACAGAGUCUUCCCUUCUAGAUCCAGACUUCCUGGCCAUGUAGGAGCCCUGUUGAGUGCCUGGUGCACUCUAGGUAGUAUGCGAGGCAUGGUUGCAAGGGUUCCCCAUUUCAACUUCACAGCACUUGGAUACACAGAAAAUUAACAUCCUCAUUUGACUAUUGAGGAAAAUGAGACUUUGAAAGUUUAAACGGAGAUAAGGCUUGGGAGGCAGACAGCCCUGUAAGUGACUUAAGUUCAGGAAGGAGAAGGACACUCAAUAUUUUUGUUCAGAGCACUGGGAAGGAGAGAGAGGGAUCAGUCACCAUCGGGCAUUUGAGAAGGUCCAGGAACAGGGGGCUGGUGAGCAGAGGGGGGAAUAACACCAGAGGGGCUGAAAUUGCUGAUUGCUGGGUUCACAGAUCUACCCACGAGCGGCCCAGGUACCCCAUGAGCGGCUGCUCUGUGUCAUCUGACCACUGGAUUGUAACCUGGGCUGAAAGAAUCAGAAGUCAGUGUGGCGAGGCAGGAGUCCUCAGAUGGUCAGAGCUGACUCUUCAACUCUUAAGGGCAAAAUGGAAAAUGUGAGCUUGUUGGUGGUCUUCGAAACACAGUAAGCAAUCCAUGCCCCUGAAGAGCAGGGAUAAUUAUAGGCAUGCCCUUGUUUUAUUGUGCUUUGCAGAUAUUGCAUGUUUUUACAAAUUGAAGAUUUAUGGCAACUCUGCAUACAGCAAAUCUAUUGAUGCCAUCUUUUUCCAAUAUCACAUGCUCACUCUGUGUCUCUGUCUCACAUUUUGGUAGUUCUCCCAAUAUUUCACACCUUAUUAUUAUUAUUAUAUCUGUUAUGAUGAUCUGUGGUCAGGGAUCUUUGAGGUUACUAUUGUAGUUGUUUUGAGGUGCCAUGAACUGCACCCAUGUAAGACAGCGAACAUAAUCAAUAAAUGUUGUGUGUUCUGACUGCUCCACCAACCGACUGUUUCCCUGUCUCUUUCUCUCUCCUCUGGCUCCCUAUUCCCUGAGGCACAAUCAUAUUGAAAUUAGGCCAAAUAAUAACCCUACAAUGGCUUCUAAAGGUUCAAGUAAAAGGAAGAGUCACAUCUCUUACUCUAAAUCAAAAGCUAGAAAUGAUUAAGCUUAGUGAGGAAGGCAUGUGGAAAGCUGAGA
rnacentral:lncRNA from 10 species